AGUGGCGCACGGGUGCGUAACGCGUACACAACGUACCCUUGAGCGGGGGAUAGCAUUGGGAAACUGGUGGUAAUACCCCAUGGUGUUGGAAUGUGGCAUCACAAAUCAACUAAAGGUUACACUCAAGGAUCGGUGUGCGUCUGAUUAGCUAGUUGGCGGGGUAACGGCCCACCAAGGCGACGAUCAGUAGGGGGUGUGAGAGCAUGGCCCCCCACAUGGGUACUGAGACACGGACCCAACUCCUACGGGAGGCAGCAGUAAGGAAUAUUGGACAAUGGUCGGAAGACUGAUCCAGCCAUGCCGCGUGAAGGACGAAGGCGUCAGCGUUGUAAACUUCUUUUGGACGGGGAUAAUACUGUCGAUUUAUCGGCACUUGAAGGUACCGUAGAAUAAGCACCGGCUAACUCCGUGCCAGCAGCCGCGGUAAUACGGAGGGUGCAAGCGUUAUCCGGAAUCACUGGGUUUAAAGGGUGCGUAGGCGGCGAGGUAAGUCAGUUGUGAAAUCGCUGGGCUCAACCCUGCAAUUGCGAUUGAUACUGCUUUGCUUGAAACAGGUUGAGGUAAGCGGAAUGUGGCAUGUAGCGGUGAAAUGCAUAGAUAUGCCAUAGAACUCCAAUUGCGAAGGCAGCCGGCUGGGCCAGCAUUGACGCUCAGGCACGAGAGUGCGGGGAUCAAACAGGAUUAGAUACCCUGGUAGUCCGCACCGUAAACGAUGAUGACUAGGUGUU
rnacentral:rRNA from 1 species